rnacentral:rRNA from 1 species
AGUAGAACGCUGAAGAGAGGAGCUUGCUCUUCUUGGAUGAGUUGCGAACGGGUGAGUAACGCGUAGGUAACCUGCCUUGUAGCGGGGGAUAACUAUUGGAAACGAUAGCUAAUACCGCAUAACAAUGGAUGACACAUGUCAUUUAUUUGAAAGGGGCAAUUGCUCCACUACAAGAUGGACCUGCGUUGUAUUAGCUAGUAGGUGAGGUAACGGCUCACCUAGGCGACGAUACAUAGCCGACCUGAGAGGGUGAUCGGCCACACUGGGACUGAGACACGGCCCAGACUCCUACGGGAGGCAGCAGUAGGGAAUCUUCGGCAAUGGGGGCAACCCUGACCGAGCAACGCCGCGUGAGUGAAGAAGGUUUUCGGAUCGUAAAGCUCUGUUGUAAGUCAAGAACGAGUGUGAGAGUGGAAAGUUCACACUGUGACGGUAGCUUACCAGAAAGGGACGGCUAACUACGUGCCAGCAGCCGCGGUAAUACGUAGGUCCCGAGCGUUGUCCGGAUUUAUUGGGCGUAAAGCGAGCGCAGGCGGUUUGAUAAGUCUGAAGUUAAAGGCUGUGGCUCAACCAUAGUUCGCUUUGGAAACUGUCAAACUUGAGUGCAGAAGGGGAGAGUGGAAUUCCAUGUGUAGCGGUGAAAUGCGUAGAUAUAUGGAGGAACACCGGUGGCGAAAGCGGCUCUCUGGUCUGUAACUGACGCUGAGGCUCGAAAGCGUGGGGAGCGAACAGGAUUAGAUACCCUGGUAGUCCACGCCGUAAACGAUGAGUGCUAGGUGUUGGAUCCUUUCCGGGAUUCAGUGCCGCAGCUAACGCAUUAAGCACUCCGCCUGGGGAGUACGACCGCAAGGUUGAAACUCAAAGGAAUUGACGGGGGCCCGCACAAGCGGUGGAGCAUGUGGUUUAAUUCGAAGCAACGCGAAGAACCUUACCAGGUCUUGACAUCCCGAUGCUAUUUCUAGAGAUAGAAAGUUACUUCGGUACAUCGGUGACAGGUGGUGCAUGGUUGUCGUCAGCUCGUGUCGUGAGAUGUUGGGUUAAGUCCCGCAACGAGCGCAACCCCUAUUGUUAGUUGCCAUCAUUCAGUUGGGCACUCUAGCGAGACUGCCGGUAAUAAACCGGAGGAAGGUGGGGAUGACGUCAAAUCAUCAUGCCCCUUAUGACCUGGGCUACACACGUGCUACAAUGGUUGGUACAACGAGUUGCGAGUCGGUGACGGCAAGCUAAUCUCUUAAAGCCAAUCUCAGUUCGGAUUGUAGGCUGCAACUCGCCUACAUGAAGUCGGAAUCGCUAGUAAUCGCGGAUCAGCACGCCGCGGUGAAUACGUUCCCGGGCCUUGUACACACCGCCCGUCACACCACGAGAGUUUGUAACACCCGAAGUCGGUGAGGUAACCUUUUGGAGC